AGAAUCAACGCUGGCGGCGUGCCUAACACAUGCAAGUCGAACGCGAAAGGGGAGCAAUCCCUGAUUAGAGUGGCAAACGGGUGAGUAACACGUGGGUGACCUGCCUUCGAGUGGGGGAUAACCUUCCGAAAGGAGGGCUAAUACCGCAUGACAUACCGUGUUUGGAUACACGGAUAUCAAAGCCGGGGAUCGCAAGACCUGGCGCUUGGAGACGGGGCCCGCGUCCGAUUAGCUAGGUUGGUGAGGUAACGGCUCACAAGGCUCCGAUCGGUACUCCGGCCUGGAGACGGGGCGUACGGACACGACUGGAACUGGAGCGACGUCAGACUCCGAGGAGCAGCAGGUGGGAUUGUACACAGU
rnacentral:rRNA from 1 species